GGCAGAGCCCGCGAGCUCGUCACUUCCCUUGCAUCCCCGGGCCACGGUUCCCAGGCGGGGCGGAAGUCCUCCUCCGCCCUGCACCGGAGCCGGCCCUUCCCGCAGGCUCUCGUCCCGGCUUAUCCGGGUCAUCGGUGGCCCGGGGCCCGCCGGCGCGGAGCGUCCCUGGAAAGCUCCGAGGCACGUGGCGAAGGAGUGUUGUGAAGCGCUUAGGUGCUGGGUGCGGAGGUGGGAGAAAGGGCCGACGACGCUCCACACCCCGCUGCAGGCUCGGCCGCUCCCAGCCGGCGGGGAAAUCCCCGUCUAGGCUGGUGCUCCGGGGUGCGAUCCUCUCGUGAGGCUGAGCUGCAGCAGCCGCAGCUCCCGGUCAGCCAUCCAGUCACGAGAGCACACGACAGAACCGCAUCUCAAUGUGUCUGUUAUCAAAG
rnacentral:lncRNA from 1 species